UACGGAGGAGGCAAGCGUUAUCCGGAAUUAUUGGGCGUAAAGCGUCCGCAGGUGGCACCUCAAGUCUGCUGUCAAAGACCGGGGCUUAACCCCAGAAAGGCAGUGGAAACUGAAGUGCUAGAGUGCAGUAGGGGUAGAGGGAAUUCCCGGUGUAGCGGUGAAAUGCGUAGAGAUCGGGAGGAACAUCGGUGGCGAAAGCGCUCUGCUGGACUGCAACUGACACUCAGGGACGAAAGCUAGGGGAGCGAAUGGG
rnacentral:rRNA from 1 species